UACGUAGGGUGCAAGCGUUAAUCGGAAUUACUGGGCGUAAAGCGUGCGCAGGCGGUUUUGUAAGUUUGUCGUGAAAGCCCCGGGCUCAACCUGGGAAUUGCGAUGAAGACUGCAAGGCUUGAAUCUGGCAGAGGGGGGUAGAAUUCCACGUGUAGCAGUGAAAUGCGUAGAUAUCGAGAGGAACACCGGUGGCGAAGGCGGCAUCCUGGACCAAUUCUGACGCUGAGUGAGCGAAAGCCAGGGGAGCAAACGGG
rnacentral:rRNA from 1 species